rnacentral:rRNA from 1 species
UACAGAGGUCUCAAGCGUUGUUCGGAUUCAUUGGGCGUAAAGGGUGCGUAGGUGGCUUGGUCAGUCGGAUGUGAAAUCCCGGGGCUCAACCCUGGAACUGCAUUCGAUACUGCCGGGCUAGAGUACUGGAGAGGAGAUUGGAAUUUACGGUGUAGCAGUGAAAUGCGUAGAUAUCGUAAGGAAGACCAGUGGCGAAGGCGGAUCUCUGGACAGUUACUGACACUGAGGCACGAAGGCCAGGGGAGCAAACGGG